rnacentral:rRNA from 1 species
UAGUCAUAUGCUUGUCUCAAAGAUUAAGCCAUGCAUGUCUAAGUAUACGCAAAUUAUACUGUGAAACUGCGAAUGGCUCAUUAAAUCAGUUAUAGUUUAUUUGAUGUUUCUUGCUACAUGGAUAACUGUGGUAAUUCUAGAGCUAAUACAUGCGUAAAAAGCCCCGACUUCUGGAAGGGGUGUAUUUAUUAGAUAAAAACCAUCCUCCUCGGAGUUUGGUGAUUCAUAAUAACUUCUCGAAUCGCACGGCCUUGUGCUGGCGAUGCUUCAUUCAAAUAUCUGCCCUAUCAACUGUCGAUGGUAGGAUAGAGGCCUACCAUGGUUGCAACGGGUAACGGGGAAUAAGGGUUCGAUUCCGGAGAGGGAGCCUGAGAAACGGCUACCACAUCCAAGGAAGGCAGCGGGCGCGCAAAUUACCCAAUCCCGACGCGGGGAGGUAGUGACGAUAAAUAACGAAUGCGGGGCCCUUUUGGGUCUUGUAAU